rnacentral:rRNA from 1 species
UACGUAGGGUGCGAGCGUUGUCCGGAAUUAUUGGGCGUAAAGAGCUCGUAGGCGGUGUGUCACGUCGUUCGUGAAAACCUGCAGCUUAACUGUGGGCGUGCGGUCGAUACGGGCAUCACUGGAGUUCGGCAGGGGAGACUGGAAUUCUGGUGUAGCGGUGAAAUGCGCAGAUAUCAGGAGGAACACCGGUGGCGAAGGCGGGUCUCUGGGCCGAUACUGACGCUGAGGAGCGAAAGCGUGGGGAGCAAACAGG